UACGUAGGGCGCAAGCGUUGUCCGGAAUUAUUGGGCGUAAAGAGCUCGUAGGCGGUCUGUUACGUCUGCUGUGAAAACCCAGGGCUUAACCCUGGGCUUGCAGUGGAUACGGGCAGACUAGAGGCAGGUAGGGGAGAAUGGAAUUCCUGGUGUAGCGGUGAAAUGCGCAGAUGUCAGGAGGAACACCGAUGGCGAAGGCAGGUCUCUGGGCCACUACUGACGCUGAGACACGAAAGCGUGGGUAGCAAACAGG
rnacentral:rRNA from 1 species